AUACGGAGGGUGCAAGCGUUAAUCGGAAUUACUGGGCGUAAAGCGCGCGUAGGCGGCUUGGCAAGUCGAAUGUGAAAGCCCGGGGCCCAACCCCGGAAUUGCAUUCGAAACUGCUUGGCUAGAGUCCCGGAGAGGAAGGCAGAAUUCCCGGUGUAGGGGUGAAAUCCGUAGAUAUCGGGAGGAAUACCAGUGGCGAAGGCGGCCUUCUGGACGAUGACUGACGCUGAGACGCGAAAGCGUUGGGAGCAAACAGGAUUAGAUACCCCAGUAGUCC
rnacentral:rRNA from 1 species